rnacentral:misc_RNA from 1 species
AUCCUGUGCAAGCAUACUCUGGUGCAACAUAACCAAAUGUUCCCAUCACCCUUGUUGUCACAUAAAUCCUCUCAGAACAUAAGAGCUUAGCAAGCCCAAAAUCAGAAACCUUAGCAUUCCAUUGGUGAUCAAGUAGUAUGUUGCUGGAUUUUACAUCGCGAUGGACAACUUUUGGUUCAAGACCCUCAUGAAGGUAGGCUAAUCCCUUUGCUGUUCCCAAUAUAAUGUUCA